rnacentral:rRNA from 2 species
CGAGAAAACUUUGCAAUGUGCGAAAGCACGACAAGGUUAAUCCGAGUGGUUUCUGCUAAAGGAACCUUUUGCCAGUUCCUAGAAACACUGGUGAAUUAAGGGGUGGCAAGUUCUGGUGUCAGCCGCCGCGGUAAAACCAGCACCUCAAGUGGUCAGGAUGAUUAUUGGGCCUAAAGCAUCCGUAAGCCUGCUUUGUUAGUUUUCGGUUAAGUCCAUUCGCUCAACGAAUGGGCUGCCGGGAAUACUGCAAAGCUAGGGAGUGGGAGAGGUAGACGGUACUCGGUAGGAAGGGGUAAAAUCCUUUGAUCUAUUGAUGACCACUGUGCGAAGGCGGUCUACCAGAACACGUCCGACGGUGAGGGAUGAAAGCUGGGGGA